CGCCUGUUUAACAAAAACAUGGUCUUUUGUUUAUAUAAAAGAUCUAACCUGCCCUAUGAUUUAUUUUAAAUGGCCGCAGUAUUUUGACUGUACAAAGGUAGCAUAAUCAUUUGUCUUUUAAUUGAAGGCUGGUAUGAAUGGUUGGAUGAAAAAUAUACUUUCUUUAUUUUAUAAAAAUAAAUUAACUUUUUAGUCAAAAGGCUAAGAUUUUAUUAGAGGACGAGAAGACCCUAUAGAACUUUAUUUUCUUUUUAUAUAACUUUUUUAGUUUUUAAUAAGUUUAUAUAUUUAUGUUAAUUAUGUUGGGGUGACAGAAAAAAUAAUAUAACUUUUUCUAUUUUUUUCAUUUAUUUAUGUUUUUUUGAUCCUACAUUAUGGAUAAUAAGAUUAAGUUACCUUAGGGAUAACAGCGUUAUUUUCUUAAAGAGUUCUUAUCGAUAAGAAAGUUUGCGACCUCGAUGUUGGAUUAAAAUAAGUGAUAGGAGCAGAAUAUUAUUUACUAGGUCUGUUCGACCUUUGAAUUUUUACGUGAUCUGAGUUCAGACCGG
rnacentral:rRNA from 1 species